UACGUAGGGCGCAAGCGUUGUCCGGAAUUAUUGGGCGUAAAGAGCUCGUAGGCGGCCUGUCGCGUCUGCUGUGAAAUCCCGGGGCUUAACCCCGGGCGUGCAGUGGAUACGGGCUGGCUGGAGGCAGGCAGGGGAGAACGGAAUUCCCGGUGUAGCGGUGAAAUGCGCAGAUAUCGGGAGGAACACCGGUGGCGAAGGCGGUUCUCUGGGCCGAUACUGACGCUGAGGAGCGAAAGCGUGGGGAGCAAACAGG
rnacentral:rRNA from 1 species